UGGGGAAUAUUGGACAAUGGGGGGAACCCUGAUCCAGCCAUGCCGCGUGUGUGAAGAAGGCCUUUUGGUUGUAAAGCACUUUAAGCGAGGAGGAGGCUACCGAGAUUAAUACUCUUGGAUAGUGGACGUUACUCGCAGAAUAAGCACCGGCUAACUCUGUGCCAGCAGCCGCGGUAAUACAGAGGGUGCAAGCGUUAAUCGGAUUUACUGGGCAUAAAGCGCGCGUAGGUGGCCAAUUAAGUCAAAUGUGAAAUCCCCGAGCUUAACUUGGGAAUUGCAUUGGAUACUGGUUGGCUAGAGUAUGGGAGAGGAUGGUAGAAUUCCAGGUGUAGCGGUGAAAUGCGUAGAGAUCUGGAGGAAUACCGAUGGCGAAGGCAGCCAUCUGGCCUAAUACUGACGCUGAGGUGCGAAAGCAUGGGGAGCAAACAGG
rnacentral:rRNA from 1 species